CACUGGGGGGCAGCACGGCCAGUGAGGGUGCUGGGAGUCCCUCUGCACCACCGGGUAGGCUCCGUCCACGGGGCCAUGGGUGGCAUGCUCCAUCACCUUCAGCUACCUCGAGCUCUGCAGACCCUGGGGAUUACCCCAAGGCACAGGCGGCAGCUCUGGCCCCAUGUGGGGCAGUCUGCAGGGUGCCUGCACAGCCCUGGCAGAGCAGGCAUGUGGCACCUGUCCCAGGGGCUCUGCUGUGCAGCCAACACCUUGUUCUUCCUCUUGCAGAAAAGCUGAUGAGGACCAUGGAAGCAGGUACUGGGAGUGACCCUGGGUGCUGGUGCCUCUGCUCCUCCUUGGGGCAAGAUGCAACCACCCCCCUGCCUAUGCCAGCUCCCUGGGAUGGCGAUGGGACAAUGCCCUGCUCCCGUCCCCAGACAAGCACCUUGGUGCCCCACGGGCUGCUCCACCCGGCAAGCAUCCCUGGAGCGGGGCCAUGCCCCUGACACCUCCUUCUCUUCCCUUCCAGAAAACUAUGACCUUCGACUCCAGAAAGAGAGAGCCAUGAAAGAGCUGGCUUUCCGAAGGGCACGGAGCUACCAGGGUGAGCGCUGGGGCUGGCGGGAGCUGUGGGGACUGCCACCCACCGGGAGGGGGACGGGUGGAGGGUGCCCUGUGGUGCCGAGCCUGGAUCACCCCGGCAGCUUGGGUCCAUCUCCCGGCGCUUGGAGCCGCGCAGGGAUGCUUGGCUGGGAGAGGCAUGGCAUGGCCCAGCGGGGGGCAGGAGGCGUCGGGUCUCUGCCCACCCUCCAUCGCCCAGGGCACGUGGGCAGGAGGGGACGGGGGGCUGGCGGACCCCUCCACAGCCCACGGCUCAUGGGGCCAUACCCCUCUCUCCACAGUGACCAUCACCCUGGACUCAAGCCACCAGCACCCCGAACUUGUCGUGUCGGAGAACGACCGAUGCGUCCGGUGCCGGCCCUCCUCGCAGGGGCCAGCCCCCCGCAUCGCUGUGGGGCACCCGGGCUUUGCAUCCCAACGGGCUUACUGGGA
rnacentral:lncRNA from 1 species